CCUAUAGGGGGCGGGGUUAUACACAAAUCAGGCACUCUCAGACUAAAUGCAGCUAUCCUGUAGGUCCUGUAGCCUCUGUUACAUCAGCAAACAACAGAAACUAGGUUGUAGGUAUAAAAAGGAAAUUUAAAAGGCGUUAGAAAUGCACCUGUAGCAGGCUCCUACUCUGCCUUAUGGGGAGUCUGUCCCUAUAUACAUAUUUAUGCACUGAACCAGAUACAUUGAUUCUGAACGAGAUAGAGGCCAG